UUCAGUAGUAUUAUUGAUUUUGACAGUUUUCGGGAAUUUUAACCCGUACUUGGAUUCUAGCUUCCUCAAUCAUUCUGAAUUAUUUAAUGUUAGUAUGAGCUAAAUGUGUUCCCAAGAUUAAACCUGAGAAAUGUGAAGUUGGCCACUUGGGUAUGUUUGAUUUCUUUAAGUACAUGCAGUGACAACCACCAUUGUUCAUGAUCUAUUCUAAAGAUAGAUUAUUAGCAGUGCAACAUCUCUGCUGGUUCAAUCAAAUACUUCAGCUUGGACGGUUCUUACUAAUAUUUAAGCCAGCUUCAAUUUUUAGUCUACUCAGUCAUUUUGGAUUACUUUCAGUUUUGGGUGCAUGUCUUUAAUAGAACAACAAACUGAUUUUAGCUGCUAAAAUAAACAGUAAACGCUAAUUCCUCAUGGCAACUAUUUGUAGAAGACCAUCCCGCUAGAGGAGAUCCUGACUAUCGAUGUCAAGCCAGGGUGAAAGAAGGGCACGAAGAUCACCUUCCGAGAUGGAAGGAUCUGAUUUUUCAUGUGCAGUUAUGUGUUUCAAAAACUUAUUGCGAUGUAAUUUUUAUAUUAACACUAUAGUCUAUGAAGUUAUAUUUACAGAUAUUUCAUUUUUCGCAUAAGACGAGGCACUGUUUUAUUUUUAAAAAAAUUAUGAAGUAAAAUUUGUGAAUAAACUGAAUGAUGUUUCAGAGGAUACGAAUGGUUGUGACUUGUGGGGUCGCCCGGGGAGGCGACUGCGGCGGGGAGCAGCGGCACAUCGGCGGACAACAAUACAUGUGUAGAGCACAUCGGCAACAGCUGCACGUCCACGAUGGAUGAGCAACAAUGCGAAGCAGGUGUAGGUGUGGGGGUAAGGACGUGUCUUGAAACUAGACUUUGAAGAGAAGUUCAUCCGUAUAUGGGAAUUCUACCUUCUAUGCCUCUGGUUUCAGAUCAUGAGCAGUUAGAAAUUACCAGAAAGCAAGCUUUCAUCGUUUGAGAUUGUAAAUAACAUGGGAUGGAGACUUGACAGCCACAUAAUUAUUUUACACCGACCUACUGAACCGUGAAAAAACAUUGCUGAGCUUCAACAUUUUGGUCAAACAUCACAUGGAAAAUCGGCUACAACCAACCAGAUUGUCAAAUCCUGAUUGUUUUAUGCUUAACUCAAGAAUUGUGAAUAAGCAAGAAAGCUUCUGAAGAUAUCAGUGCAUCAUCUCUUAUGCAACUGC